GGCGUUGGAAUUUCCAAAAUAUCUGUUGUUACCAUGGAAACAAUGCAAAAAGGUCAAAACUUUGAAUUUUCACAGAACAUUCUAGAACAUCAAUGUUAAAUUUAUUCUAGAGACAUUAAAUGGUAUAUGAUUGGUAUAUGAUUAUGGAGGGAAAAAAUUGCAGCGGGGGUUUGACUUUGGAAUAUUCAAAAUGGCCGCCGUUACCAUGGAAACAGCAAAAAUACAAAAAAACUUCAAAAUGCUUCAAAUUUAUUGAAACUUAUAACAAAUGUUGCUCAGCUAAUGUAGACUUGACUUUUGAGUUUGGAAUUUCCAAAAUGGCCGCCGUUACCAUGGAAACAGCAAAAAUGCAAAAA
rnacentral:lncRNA from 1 species